CAUGCAAGUCGAGGGGUAUAGUAGCAAUACUAGAGACCGGCGCACGGGUGCGUAACGCGUAUGCAAUCUACCUUAUACAGAGGGAUAGCCCAGAGAAAUUUGGAUUAAUACCUCAUAGCAUAGCAACUUCGCAUGAAGUCACUAUUAAAGUUCCAACGGUAUAAGAUGAGCAUGCGUCCUAUUAGCUAGAUGGUAAGGUAACGGCUUACCAUGGCUACGAUAGGUAGGGGUCCUGAGAGGGAGAUCCCCCACACUGGUACUGAGACACGGACCAGACUCCUACGGGAGGCAGCAGUGAGGAAUAUUGGACAAUGGGCGCAAGCCUGAUCCAGCCGUGCCGCGUGCAGGAAGACGCAUCUAUGGUGUGUAAACUGCUUUUGUACGGGAAGAAACACUCCCUCGUGAGGGAGCUUGACGGUACCGUAAGAAUAAGGAUCGGCUAACUCCGUGCCAGCAGCCGCGGUAAUACGGAGGAUCCAAGCGUUAUCCGGAAUCAUUGGGUUUAAAGGGUCCGUAGGCGGUUUGGUAAGUCAGUGGUGAAAGCCCAUCGCUUAACGAUGGAACGGCCAUUGAUACUGCCAGACUUGAAUUACUGGGAAGUAACUAGAAUAUGUAGUGUAGCGGUGAAAUG
rnacentral:rRNA from 1 species